rnacentral:lncRNA from 1 species
AAAGCCCCCUGCUGUUCAUGGGGUUUGCCCCAAAUGUGGUCCGGGUGCUACUCUGGGGCUUCCUGCUUCGUGGAGGUGGUAUAGAAAGCAACGUAUGUAGCAACUAUCGCUAAGAUAUUUAGUAGUACAAAGACAGUAAAACCAUUCUUCCUUUUGCUUUUCAGUCGAGUGACUCAGCUUAGAUAUGGAGCAUCCUUUCCUUCUGAUGGUUAAAACAGUAACAAACCAGACGUAGCACUUUGCACCUGUGCAUGCCAAGGCAUUCUUAGUGGAUUUCAAGUGCUUUCUGCGCAAGGUGAAGCAGGCGUUCAGAGGAAGCCACCCAAAUAUUUACAUUCCAGACAAAAAAUAAAGUCUUUGUAGUCAUUAAAUGUGCUCAUUUAGCAUUUACUGACUGUGGUCCAGCAAACUCAUUUCCCCAAAGUCAAUGCCAACGGUGUGGGAUGUGAAGGCAUUCUUAGUAUCCCUUUGCAUCGUCUGGGCUCAGGAUGAGCCCAUUGAGAGCAGAAGGUGCACUGAGCACUGUUCAGUGGCCGGGAACGUGCUUUGGCCUAAUGAAAUACAAAAAUAGGUCUAAGUGAUGAGUUGGGAGGUGUUAAUAUGCUUCCUUAUUAAGGUUCAAAAUGAUUCGUAAACUUAGUUGCAAGUUUCUGGAAUAGCUCUGUGAAAACAGAAUGCCAUAUUUGUAUGUGACCUGCUGAGAAAGCUGCAGCCAACGCCUGUCUUAAUGCUCUGUUCAGCUCUCCUCUUUGCAGAGCUCUCUAGCAGUGUAACUGAUGGUUUUCCAGUCUGCUGGGAAUUUCAUUGGCUGUGCAUGGAAUUUCCUAUGAUUACUUUUUUUUUUCCCAAGCUUUGUCCUUCUGAGCUCUUAGGCUCAGUCCUGAAUGGGUAUUUGUCACUGCAGUCACGGUAAGAACUUGUCAGACUGGAUUUCUGCAGCAAUGUGAAGGGGAGUAAUCCAAAGUGUUCCCUGGGUCUGAGGGUGAAUACAUUUGGAAUGUAUAUGACUUACGGUGAGAUAUUGCUAAGGUAGUUCUAGUCACAGAGCAGGAAAGCUUGUUUACAGAGAAAAACAAGCUUUAAUUGUCUUCAGCCGUGAGAAUCUGGUGUUACUCACCGGCUAAACUUAAUGUAUUUCUUCUCUGUCACCUACUGAAGGUGUGAUCUGUCCCAUGAAACCGCUGCAGAUCCUUAUGCCGAUGUCCUCAGAGAACCCUUGGACUCAGAGCACUCAUUUUUUGUCUUCAGUUUAGACUGAAUUUGUCAGAAUGCUGUUGGAGCGUACUGAGUGGUAACAAAACUCCAGGAAAGAAGGCAGUUCGGAAAUCAAAGUGUAAAUGGACAGCAGAAAACUGCCCCUAUCUGAGCAACAACUCAGGUUCGCAACGGAACUUGGGAAUAAGGAGAUGUGUGGGAGGUGCAGUGAUGGGAGGAGCUGUGGCUCCUGGCAGGAGUGUUCCCAUACAGGCAGGGAUGGGGGCUGACUUCCAUGCUGGUGUCAGUGAGGAUGGCCGGGCUGUGUCCUGCUGCUGAGCCGCUGUGCUGAGGGCGAGGAGUGGCAGAAAGACCUCGGACAGGGUGAGCAGCCCACAUCCUUGCUCCCAAAUGGAAGUUGUGUAUGCGAGCACCCUGCAGCUGGGAAAACCCUUGGGAACAGGUGAGUGCUUGGGACCUGAUGUGACAAACCUCAGUAUGGGGUUUGGAGCAAUUCAGGGCUGGUUCCAGCCCCAUUGGCUGUCAGUGGGCUGCAGCAGCUGUGUCUGUGUGGGUCCAUGCCAUUCCACUGUGGAGGAGUAGCUGUG